GGAUGGGUGGCCGAGUGGUUUAAGGCACCGGUCUUGAAAACCGGCGUGGGCUCGCGCCCACCGGGGGUUCGAAUCCCUCCCCAUCCGCCA
rnacentral:tRNA from 1 species